UAUCUUUUCCUUCUAAUUGCCUCAGUUUUUUACUCUAUAUAGUUUGAAGCCAUGUAAUUGGAUGCAUGUAGAUUUAGAACUGAUAUCUUCAUGAAUGAUGGUUUUAUCAUCAUGAAAAUUCCCUCUUUGCUCUUAAAAAGUGUCUUACCCUAAAGUCUGCUUUGUCCGAUGUUAGUAUUGUGACACCACCUUCAUUGACUAGGUUGAUGUUAUCUUUUCCCAUCCUUUCAUUUUAGCAUUUCUGUGUCUGCAGAUUUUAUUUUUUUGUUGUUUUAUUUAUUUUAUUUUAUUUAUUUUUUUUUAAUUUUUUUUUUCCCACUGUACAGCAAGGGGGUCAGGUUAUCCUUACAUGUAUACAUUGCAAUUACAGUUUUUUCCCCCACCCUUUCUUAUGUUGCAACAUGAGUAUCUAGACAUAGUUCUCAAUGCUAUUCAGCAGGAUCUCCUUGUAAAUCUAUUCUAGGGUGUGUCUAAUAAGCCCAAGCUCCCGAUCCCUCCCGCUCCCUCCCCCUCCCAUCAGGCAACCACAAGUCUCUUCUCCACGUCCAUGAUUUUCUUUUCUGAGGAGAUGUUCAUUUGUGCUGGAUAUUAGAUUCCAGUUAUAAGUGAUAUCAUGUGGUAUUUGUCUUUGUCUUUCUGCCUCAUUUCACUCAGUAUGAGAUUCUCUAGUUCCAUCCAUGUUGCUGCAAAUGGCAUUAUGUCAUGCUUUUUUAUGGCUGAGUAGUAUUCCAUUGUGUAUAUAUACCACAUCUUCCGAAUCCAAUCAUCUGUCGAUGGACAUUUGGGUUGUUUCCAUGUCCUGGCUAUUGUGAAUAGUGCUGCUAUGAACAUGCGGGUGCAUGUGUCUCUUUUAAGUAGAGCUUUGUCCGGAUAGAUGCCCAAGAGUGGGAUUUGUGUCUGCAGAUUUUAAGUGUGCCUCCUGUAAAAUGCAUAUGUUUGGGUUUUAUGUUUUAUCCAGUCUGAAGUCUUAUAAUUUUAAAAAAGCUAGUCAGCUUAGAUGUAGACUGAUUGCUGAAACAUAUUGGCUAUCACUACCAUUUUCUCAUUUGUAUUCUGUUUGACCUACAUGAUAAUAAUUAGUUUCUAUUGAAUGAACAGAUAAAUUGCUUUUUCUCCCCUUUCUUAUAUUUUUUUUUUGGAAGGCAAUUUUUUUCCUUUCUUUCUUAAAGUUUUUAUUAAAGUAUACUUGAUUUAGAAUGUUUUGUCAAUUUCUACUGCACAGUAUAGUGACCCAGUCAUAUGUAUAUGUACAUUCUUUUUCUCAUACUAUCUUCCAUUAUGUUCUAUCACCAGAGAUUGGAAAUAAUUCCCUGUGCUAUACAGUAGGGUCUCAUUGGUUAUCCAUUUUAAGUAUAAUAGUUGGCAUCUAAAACCCCAGGCUCCCAGUCCUCACUCUCCCCCACCCCUUGACAACCACAAGUCUGUCCUCCGUGUCUCUGAGACUAUUUCUAUUUUGUAAAUAGGUUCAUUUGUGCCAUAUCUUAGAUUCCACACAUAAAUGAUAUCAUAUGUUAUUUGUCCUUCUCUUUCUGACUUACUUCACUUAGUAUUAGAAUCUCUAGUUCCAUUCAUGUUGCCGCAAAUGGCAUUAUUUUGUCCUUUCUAUGGCUGAAUAGGAUUCCAUUAGGAAUAUGUACCACAUCUUCCUAAUCCAUUAAUCUGUUGAUGGACAUUUAGGUCGUUUCCAUGUCUUGGCUUUUUUAGAAGAAUUUAGAUUAAAUGUAAUGUUCAAUAAAUUCUCUUUUUGCUUAAUAUAGUAACAUACUUUUAAAAAUUUAAAUUCUUAAAAUUUAUAUUAAAAUAAUUCAUUUUACCAUAAUGUAUGACAGAUUAUAUUAGAAUCUUUUACUCAGGUGUGUAUGACUGAUUCCCAACUUCCUUAAAUAGUCCAUAAACUGAUGUAAUACGAAAGUACUUUCAUAGUAUAUUAAUAUUUGUUUUAACUUUGCUUUCAAGGGGCUGUGUAUAUGUUUUGUAAUAUAUUCUCAGAAAGUCUUUUCAAAGAGAAUAAUUACAAGUUUAGUUUACAAACCAUUGUUAUACAGUAGCAGGAUAAAUUAUCUUUUUAAAAGCUAUCUUGUAUAGUGAGUGUUUUUUCUAUUCCAUUCUUUUUUAUACAACAGUUUAUCCUGAGAUACUGAGAUAACAUUGUCCAUUUCUAAACCUGUUGCUUGCUGAGAAAAGAGCUAUGUGUUGUAAAGUCCUUGCUUCCAUUACUGUGCCUUGCAUAUACUAAGAAUUCAACAAAUAUUUGUUAGAUGAACACAUGAAUAUAUGUUUAUAUGAAGGAAUGAGUGGCUUUGAAUCUAGGUUUUCUGACUUAGUGACUCUUUCAAAUUACUUCCAAAUGCAUUGUCUUUAUUUGGCCGCAAUAUAAUUUUACACUUAUUAACAACCAUCUCCCUUCACUAGCUAUUCCCCCAGGUACCGUGGUUUUUAUGAAGUACAGCUUGCAUGAGGUACUGAUUGACAUAUGGUACUGUCUCCAGAGCUUGCUGAAGAAUGCAGCAUAUGCUGGAGGCAGUAAGCACCCUGUUGAGAUCAAAGUUGCCAAAUUCUCCAAGGCCAAGUUUUUAAAAGGCCUGCUCCUUGGCCUGACAUGCCUCUUCUGCCUCUGGAUAUGAGAGAGGGUAAAGUGUUUUAUUGAUUUACCACGAAAAGUGGAAGGAACGCAAAGUGAGUUGCUCUUCUCCAGCAUUCACGGCUGAAGAAGCUUUGUCAGCAGGCACAGACUAGAAGAGACCGAGGGAGUCAGGGAGGCAGUGCUCUUUCCUCUCACCACUUGGGAAAUGGGUAAGAGCUGACAGUUAUCAUUCCCAAACAGGAAUUAUAGACUGAGGUGUCAUUAAGGGAAUCCACCAACUGAUAGAAGAGAGCAACAACAAAGUUAAUAUUGGUUACUGAAAUAUUAAACCUUUCCAUGUUUAUAGUUGAAGUCCCAAGAGAUUACUUUGUAUGCAGUUUUUAUUUUUCUUACUAAACUUUCUGGAUCCCCCCACAACUGAACAACUGAUCCAUUUCAAUACCUUGAACUCUUCUUUCUUCUGUAUGCAGCCCAGCUAUCACAGUGAAUAAGCAAUUCCCUAAGCAUAAAUUUGGCUCUACUAUGAGAGAUGUUGGCUUGGGAAGAAUGUAUUACCUCCCAUGGAAACUUUAGUGAAAAUGCAAAUAGGUUUUCUCACAUCAUAUAGAGUGAUGCUGAGUACUACAAUUCAAGUAUGAAGUAAAAGAAUUCAAAUAUUAAGGGUGGAGCUACGAGACGUUCUUUAAUAUGUAAAUUAUGAAAACAAUAAUUAGAUGUCACUUGGUUAUUUUCUAUCUCAGUUUUAUUUAUCUAUUUUUUUUUCAUGGAAGUAUCAGCUGGUUUCUCUAGCAUUACAUUUUUACUUAAUGGAACAAAUCCUUGUAGCAUUGGUUUAUGUGUAGUUUUCACUUAAUUAGCCAGCCUUUAUAUCCUCAGAUGUACUCAAUCUAAUUUUUUUUAAAUCCUUGUCCUCAAUUUGGACUGAAAGAAAUCUUUAAGUACAUUUUCAGCUAAAAUGCUCUGUGCCUUGGAGGAAAAAUGCCAACACACAAAGGAGAGUACUGAGGAACCACAUAAUUCUAACCUGGUGUACUCCCCACCCCCAAAUAGAGUCUAACAGAUUAGGAGUUUCAGAUAAUAAGCCCGAAGGGAUUUGUGUGCUGGAACCCUGCUGAGGAAAAUUCAUUAACACAUCAAUUUAUGAACAUAAACAGUGUAUUUGGGAUUUUUGUGUAUGCCCUGUAACCUAUUAACAAGUUAAUUUAGCAUCCUACUUGAAUGAAACAAACAGUUUGACCUUAUUCAAGAUCAAUUAUAUUCACAAAAUACAUUUCCAUCUUGUGUGUAUUGGCAGCAUGUCGGCAUUGGAACAAAACAACUGGCCUGUUACCGAAGUCGCUCUCACACAGAAGAUUUCACAAAAGCAAUGAGGUUGUUCUGGCCAGCAGAAGGACAUUGACUAUUCAAAUUGUCACUCUUAAGUAUGCUUCCUGACCAAGGGUUACUGGGAUUUGGGGAAUUAGCAAUCAUGCAUGUUAAAAAGACGAAAGCCUGACUGUAUGUUCACUGUUAGGGAAGUACAAACAAAAGCAGCAAGUAAAGGGAUAAUAGUCAUAGAAAAUUAUACUUUUCUAAGGUCAGAUUUUUCUAGUUCCCAAAGAAUAGCGUUUUCAUUAUGGCCCUGAUAGCAGCCAAACUAUCCUAUCUUAGGACAUUUAUUUUCUAUGUACAGUUUCCUGUACAUUCUUGACUGAUGUACAAUAAAAUGAUUUAAGACCAAAUGUGAAGUAAUUCAUCUUUGAGACUAAAACAUACACCUUUGGGAGAAGACAGUGUAUACAGGGUUCUCCAAAAUGUUGGAAAACAGCUGUUUUUUUUUUUCUUUUUUUUUUUUUUUACAAUAUAAUCAACUAAAUUAAAAACAGAAAAAACAAAGCAAAAAUAAAAACAACAAACCUGUAUAGGUACAGAGCAUGAAUUCAUUUACCUCCCAAUAUUCAAAAAGAACAUGCCCAGGUACACUUGGACCCAUUUUUGUAGAAUAUCCUCUGGAACUGAUUUCUGUAUGUACACAUCCAUCCACCCUAGCUUUUCCACUCAAGGCAUAGAAAUUGGUGGGAGCAGGAUGUAAAAUCUUAACUGAAAGACAGCUACCUUGGAGCUAUGGAGAAAUAGAAACGCAAGACUAAGAACAGAACUUUUAGCAGGAUGUCUUUGUUCUAGUUCUUUUCUUUCAUUCUUCUCUAUCCUCUCGUUUUCCCUUUGACAAAUACCUUCACCCUUCUUUCGCCAUGCCCACCGUAGAGAACAAUUCAAAAGUACAUAAAUUACAUCGCAUCUGUUCCAUUGUCAAGUCAGUUCUAACUAUUGCUAAUGUAUACAUUUCACAGAAAUAGAUAAUUUUUUUAAGAUAAAUCAAUUGAGAAAAAUAACAGACUUCAGGAAGAACAAACAUGCAACCACAAUCAAUCAUCUAGUAUUUUCAAAGCCCAGAUUUCACACAAAACAAUUCCCAAUCAAGCUGAUUUCAUAUUCCAUAUGGGGACAUUUGAUGAUUUUGAGAGGGAAUGCAGCAUCCUCUAAUUAGCUGUGAGUUCCAACUAGAUAGAAUAUUUGGACUAGUGAUGGAAUAUAACAGUGCAACAAACAAAUGAUAGAGCAGACCAUAAUGCAGUGGUAAGUUAUUCACCUUGACAUAAAUGACCCUGCACAUGAUCAAAUAAAUAGAAAUUCUGUUUUAAACAGCUCUUCAUUAUCUUGUUUUUCAGAGGUAUAUAUGCAACGCAAAGGACCAGCAUUUCCUUGACAACACAAAAUGACAUUUUGAAGGUCAGAGCUCCCUCUCUGCCUGAACAUUCACUAUCUACACAAAUAAAACAAAACCUAACCGGUUAUUAUUCCUUCUUUUCCUGGAAUGUGAGCCUAUAUAUAUAAAUCUCACCAAAUUAUUUAUGUUCUAGAAAUGGAUAACAAGCACUUUCUUCCACUCCCACCUCAGUCCUGUCUCAUGAACUUCUGGUUAGAAUUUGAACUUAUUUCCUUAGGAAAAUAACUUUUGCAUCUACCUAUAUUUCAGCAUUAUUAGGAGACUAUCUUUAUAUAUUUACUUGUAUUGUUGCCUGGCCCAGACUUCCUCAGGUUCCAAGUAAACUUGAGUCAAAGUAUCUGACUUAUCUGGCUUUUUGACAGUAAUGACUCCUCACAUUUUGCUUUGGGUAGCUAAUCUGCAAAGCGGUCCUUACCUGACUUGAUCUAAUAACACAAAGCCUGAUACAUGAUCAUUAAGAUGAGUAUAAAUAUUUUUAAGAGAAAGCAUUUCUAUAAGGACACUAAGAGGCAUUAAGAAAGAGAGACUGUGAUUUCUCUGUUGUGGCUCAGUGGGUUAAGAACCCUACAUGGUAUCUGUAAGGAUGGAGGUUCAAUCCCUGGUCUCCCUCAGUAGGUGAAGGAUCCAGCUUUGCUGCAAACUGCGGUGUAGGUCAUGGAUGCGGCUCAGAUCUCCAGGUCAUAGAUGUGGCUCAGAUCUGGUGUUGCUAUGGCUGUGGUGUAAGCCUGCAGCUCCAGCUCCAAUUUGACCCCUAGCCUGGGAACUUCUGUAUGCUGCAGGUUCAUCUGUAAAAAGAAAAUAAGAGGUUAAGCUGUUGUAAACAAAUAGUUUAGAGAGUCAGUGCAGAUGGUGUAUAGUUUCUGAGUCUGAGGUGCAUAAUUGAAAAUUACAUUCACUUCAACUCAAACAGCCAUUUUUUAUUAUAAAAUUAAUUUUUAACUUAAUUCUAUUCUUACUCCUCAUUUCUAAAAAAAAAAAAAAAA
rnacentral:lncRNA from 1 species